UUAGAAUUUAUUUUUCAGAAAACAAGGAGGAAAAGAAUUCAUUUUGAAUUAUGGCCGACUGUGAAGAAAUGAAAGGAAAUAAAGAAGAUCGGAAGCAGAUUUGCAGAGACUUUUUGAGAAAUGUAUGUUUACGUGGCCAAGAUUGUAAAUAUUUUCAUCCAGACGAAAAAGAGUAUAAUCCUCCAACUACUCGGUCUAAACUGAUAACAUUUUGUCAUGAUUUCCAAAAUGGAAAAUGCAUGCGAUAUCCUUGUAAAUUUUUACAUUGCUCAGAUGAAGAAGAAGAACGUUACAGGCAAACAGGUGAACUACCUUCUAGAGUACUUGAAGAACCAUGGAAUAAAUGGAUAGCAGCUGAAUUAAUUUCUGCAAAAAUGGGGGAUACAACACCUGUCUGUAAAGAUUAUUUGAAUGGGGAAUGCGGUAGAAGAAGUUGUAGGUUUCGUCAUAUAACUAUGAGAGAGCUUGAGGCUCUGAGCAAUCGUGGCAGAGUUCCUCCUCGACCUCCACCGUUUGAAGAAGAAGCAAUGUUUCGUAGACGAGAUGACAGGCCAAGGCCUAUAAUUGAUGAUUAUGAACCUACUUUUAAACGCAGACGUUUUAUGGAUACUCCUUAUGGUUAUCCAAAUGGGCAUGUUCGACCAGAUAGAGCAAUGUUUGUACUGGAAGAAGAAAAUGCUAUUUUAAGGCAGCGUGUUGCAGAGCUUAAAAAAAGAGUUGACGAUUUGCAAGCGACAAAUGAGUUUUUGUUAGAACAAAAUGCACAAAUGAGAAUUAAUGACAAAGGCGCAGCGAGUUUAACAGCUGUUACAGUACCUGCAGUAACUAUUACAAAUACAGCACAAAUGCAACCUGCGCAAGCACCCAAUCAUCAAGUGAUGAAUGCAGCGAUUCGUACAGUUACGGCAAGCGUAGCAACUGUGCCCGUCUCAAUAGCUGCUGUUGCGGGAACACCUUGCUCUAUUGCGACUGUGUCUAUGGCACCUGUACAAAUUCCUCCCGCUGUUGUAACAAUGGCACAACCCAGUGGACAGAAUCCUUCAGGCGGUCCGCAAGCGCUUCCUAUGUCUAUGAGCGAACCUCAAGGUCCUUUAGUUUCAUACCCUAUUAUGACACGACCAGUUCUUCAACCAAGCAUUACCCAUUAAUAUCUUCAGGUGAGAUUAAUGUAUCUCAGAAAUUAAAAGCCAAAAAAUGUGCCACCAUAUGUGGAUAUAAAAGCAGUCAUCACUAAGACUCAGUUUGACUUGAGAAUUUGUGAGUUUGGUUUUUCAAGACUUAAAUGGCACAGCAUUGUGAUUUGAUCCAAGAUAUCAAGUGACAAGUGCAAUACACUCUACAGCAACAUACAAGAGAAAUGAAAUGUUCUUAUUCAAAACUAUUCUGUUUGCACUGAGUUAAAACUAGUCCAUAAUGAUUUUAAAAAUUGUACAUGGGAGGUGAUUUUGUUUCGUGCAUGUAGGAAACAGCACUGUCUUUGUUUUUGUUUUAGUGCACUUUUUGAUUCUAUAAAUGAAUCAAGAAAAUCAGUUGUUGGGUUUUUUAGUAAGUAUUACAUCAAACAUUUGGUUAUGUUGUAUACAAAUAGUUAUAUAGUCACUGUUCUUGUAAAUGUGACCUCUUGUAUUAUUUCUUGUUGUUUUAUUUUUACUUCAUUUAAACCGUGUUCCUGAAUUAAAAAAUAUAUAGGUUAGUUAUUUUGUUAUGAUUUGUUAUACAAAAUAGUUAUUUUAGUGUGAUUAAGUCAAGUUAAUUACCAUAUAAUGAAGGCAAUUCUGAUAUCAAAGAACCAACUCAUUGAUUAUAGUGGGGGAAUUAUAAGAAAUCUGGAGUAAUAACCAAUGAUAGAUUAGCAUAUGGUUGCCACAUCAAACUACUGCUGCUGGUGAUUGACCACUGUCAUCAUAUAUUCAUAUUCAAAUCAUGCAUGGACACAAUGCCCGAAUGCUCUAACCUUACCUGAUGUGAAUGUUUUGAAAGUUUAUUAUGAUCCUUGUGGUUCGGUAAUGAAACUUAGAUUUUACCCAGCAAUUGUGAAAUUAAGAUGUUCGUCCAAAUAAGAGGAUUUUUAGAGUGAAGAUAAAAAACAAUAAUAGUAAACAGGAAGAUAGUAAAGCAGUUGUUUGGUAACUAUGCCUUUAUAUUGUAUGACAAAUAUUCAUGUUAUGCCAAUAAAAUUGUUUGUAUUAGUAAUAAAUACUUAUCAAAAUGUG
rnacentral:misc_RNA from 1 species